AGAGGUUGAUCCUGGCUCAGGAUGAACGCUAGCGGCAGGCUUAACACAUGCAAGUCGUGGGGCCGAGUAGCAUAUUCGGCGACCGGCGCACGGGUGAGUAACGCGUAUGCAACCUUCCUUUAACUGGGGCAUAGCUCGUCGAAAGACGGAUUAAUACCCCAUAACAAUAUUGAAAGGCAUCUUUUAAUAUUUAAAGCUCCGGCGGUUAAAGAUGGGCAUGCGUGUCAUUAGCUAGUUGGUGAGGUAACGGCUCACCAAGGCAACGAUGACUAGGGGGUCUGAGAGGAUGAUCCCCCACACUGGUACUGAGACACGGACCAGACUCCUACGGGAGGCAGCAGUGAGGAAUAUUGGUCAAUGGGCGCAAGCCUGAACCAGCCAUGCCGCGUGAAGGAUGAAGGCGUAUGCGUUGUAAACUUCUUUUAUAUGGGACGACGUUGACGGUACCAUAUGAAUAAGCAACGGCUAACUCCGUGCCAGCAGCCGCGGUAAUACGGAGGUUGCAAGCGUUAUCCGGAUUUAUUGGGUUUAAAGGGUGCGUAGGCGGAAUGGUAAGUCAGUGGUGAAAGCCUGUAGCUUAACUAUAGAAUUGCCAUUGAUACUGUCAUUCUUGAGUGUAGUUGAGGUAGGCGGAAUGUGUAAUGUAGCGGUGAAAUGCUUAGAUAUUACACAGAACUCCAAUUGCGUAGGCAGCUUACUAAACUAUAACUGACGCUGAGGCACGAAAGCGUGGGGAGCAAACAGGAUUAGAUACCCUGGUAGUCCACGCUGUAAACGAUGAUUACUCGAUGUGUGCAAUAUAGUACGCGUCUAAGCAAAAGCAUUAAGUAAUCCACCUGGGGAGUACGGUCGCAACGCUGAA
rnacentral:rRNA from 1 species